UUUCGAGCAUCUUGCUUUAUGUUACCCCAUGAAUGGAUUUUUAUGUAAAUGUUUUUGUUCUCAAAUUCAUGAAAAUAAUUCAUUUUUCUGUUAUAAUGCCUGACAGGUACCAAUACAAGUGAACAAACACAUAGCAUUCUCCGAUGGAAUGAAAAUAAUUAAUGGUUUUGCUAAAGUAUCUUCACGAACUUAUAAAUCGCAGGAUUUAAUGACCAGAGAACUAGACAGGUUUCUCUAUGUUAAAUGAAUAUACAAUCUGCGACAUAAAGUCUUACACCAUGUAUGGCCUCUUACCAGGCCUGAUGGAAAUCCCUGUUUUGCUACCAUGGAAUUUGGUCUUGUUCGGAACAUGACAGUUGCUGCUGAUGAAGAAAGAUACGUUGAUGCAGCCAAGUGGAGAGAUGAACUAAGUCAAUUGCGUACACACAGAAGCCACCGAACAAAGAAAGUUUGAUACUUUCCAUUUUACAAGUCAGAAGUAUUUCGAAGGCAAGGGCAACCUCUUGUACAUA